rnacentral:lncRNA from 1 species
GUGUUUACACUUCCCGCCCGCGGUGGAAACUGCGACAAAUGCGGAUCUCCGUGUCGCUGUUACCAAAAAGAAACCAAAAUUAACAGCUGUUUAAUAUAUUAAGCCCACUCCACCAGCCGCUGGAGUUGUACCCAAAUGAGUUAUUUUAAGGCCUGUUUUUAAAAAAGAUUAAAAAUAGCACUUAAGGCAGGCUUAUACACCGGUGCAUACAGCUGUUCUGGUUGGAGAACGAAGAUGCUGGUUACCGUUGGCGGGGAGGGGAGCGGUUACUCUGCGCUUUUAGAAUGUUUGGGUUUGGCUGGGCGCGGUGGCUCACGCUUGUAAUCCCAUCACUUUGGGUAGGCCGAGGCGGGUGGAUCACUUGAGGUCAGGAGUUCAAGACCAACCUGGCCAACAUGGGAAACGCCGUCUCUACUAAAAACUACAAAAAUUAGUCGGGCGUGGUGGCGGUCACCUGUAAUCCCAGCUACUCUACUCCGGAGGCUGAGGCAGGACAAUCCUGUGAACCCGGGAGGCAGAGGCUGCAGUGAGCCAAGAUCAUGCCAUUGCACUCCAGCCUGGGCGACAGGGCAAGACUCUCAAAAAAACAAAAACAAAGUUUGGGUUUGUUAAUCUACACAUUCAUUAUCAUUAAAAUAUAUACUUAUAUAUUAUGCACUCAUUCUGACUCACCUACUUUCCCACAGAGAUGUGGCAAAAACGUUUUUGAUGCGGUCUCAUAAAUUGAGGACAUAAAGAAUUGAGUUAGCUAAACCCAAAAACACAGCCAUUGCAAAGAAGGAACACGUUUCUUCUCUGGCCAGUAAGUGAUUAGCUCCUUGU